rnacentral:misc_RNA from 1 species
GAUGAAGAACGUAGUGAAAUGCGAUACUUGGUGUGAAUUGCAGAAUCCCGUGAACCAUCGAGUCUUUGAACGCAAGUUGCGCCCGAAGCCAUCAGGUUGAGGGCACGUCUGCCUGGGCGUCACAUAUCGUUGCUCGAUGCCUAUCGCAUUGCGAUAGGACUUAGGGCGAAUGAUGGCUUCCCGUGAGCGUUGUUGCCUCGCGGUUGGUUGAAAAUCGAGUCCUUGGUAGGGUGUGCCAUGAUAGAUGGUGGUCGAGUUAGCACGAAACCGAUCAUGUGCAUGCUCCCCAAAAUAUGGCCUCUGUGACCCACACGCGUCUUUUGACGCUCAUGACGAGACCUCAUGUCAGGCGGGGCUACCCGCUGAAUUUAAGCAUAUCAAUAAGCGGAGGA